UACGGGGGGGCUAGCGUUGUUCGGAAUCACUGGGCGUAAAGGGCGCGUAGGCGGCUUUGUAAGUCGGGGGUGAAAGCCUGUGGCUCAACCACAGAAUUGCCUUCGAUACUGCGGGUCUCGAGUCCGGGAGAGGUGAGUGGAAUUCCGUAGUGUAGAGGUGAAAUUCGUAGAUAUUAGGAAGAACACCAGUGGCGAAGGCGGCUCACUGGCCCGGUACUGACGCUGAGGCGCGAAAGCGUGGGGAGCAAACAGG
rnacentral:rRNA from 1 species